GGGCCCGCACAAGCGGUGGAGUAUGUGGUUUAAUUCGAUGCAACGCGAAGAACCUUACCAGGGUUUGACAUCCUGCGAAUCUCUUGGAAACAGGAGAGUGCCUUCGGGAACGCAGUGACAGGUGGUGCAUGGCUGUCGUCAGCUCGUGUCGUGAGAUGUUGGGUUAAGUCCCGCAACGAGCGCAACCCACGUCUUUAGUUGCCAGCAUUUAGUUGGGCACUCUAGAGAGACUGCCGGUGAUAAACCGGAGGAAGGUGUGGAUGACGUCAAGUCAUCAUGCCCCUUACAUCCUGGGCUACACACGUACUACAAUGCUACGGACAAAGGGCAGCAUACUGCGGUGAAUACGUUCCGGGCCUUGUACACACCGCCCGUCACACCAUGGGAGUGGGAUGCAAAAGAAGUAGCUAGUCUAACCUUCGGAGG
rnacentral:rRNA from 1 species